rnacentral:rRNA from 1 species
UACGUAGGGGGCAAGCGUUGUCCGGAAUCAUUGGGCGUAAAGAGCGUGUAGGCGGCCAUUUAAGUCUGCUGUGAAAGUCCAGGGCUCAACCCUGGGAUGUCAGUGGAUACUGGAUGGCUCGAGUCCGGAAGAGGAGUGUGGAAUUCCUGGUGUAGCGGUGAAAUGCGCAGAUAUCAGGAGGAACACCGAUGGCGAAGGCAGCACUCUGGGACGUGACUGACGCUGAGACGCGAAAGCGUGGGGAGCAAACAGG